CCUACGGGUGGCAGCAGUGGGGAAUAUUGCACAAUGGGGGAAACCCUGAUGCAGCGACGCCGCGUGAGUGAAGAAGUAUUUCGGUAUGUAAAGCUCUAUCAGCAGGGAAGAAAAAAGACGGUACCUGACUAAGAAGCCCCGGCUAACUACGUGCCAGCAGCCGCGGUAAUACGUAGGGGGCAAGCGUUAUCCGGAUUUACUGGGUGGAAAGGGAGCGUAGACGGGGCGGCAAGUCUGAAGUGAAAGGCAGGGGUUUAACCCCUGACCUGCUUUGGAAACUGCCAUGCUAGAGUGCUGGAGAGGUAAGUGGAAUUCCUAGUGUAGCGGUGAAAUGCGUAGAUAUUAGGAGGAACACCAGUGGCGAAGGCGGCUUACUGGACAGUAACUGACGUUGAGGCUCGAAAGCGUGGGGAGCAAACAGGAUUAGAUACCCUAGUAGUC
rnacentral:rRNA from 1 species